CCCGCUAAAGGUAAACCCUGAGCAAUCAGGGGGCGCAAAGCAAAGGGUCUUGCCAGGUCGCUGAAACGGUUUCCAUAGCCUAAGCAGUCGAAAGACAGCCUUGCUGCCAAAG
rnacentral:ncRNA from 1 species